UACAGCGACUGCAAGCGUUAUUCGGAUUCACUGGGCGUAAAGGGUGCGCAGGCGGUUGGGUGUGUCAGAUGUGAAAUCCCGAGGCUCAACCUCGGAACUGCGUCUGAAACUACUCGACUAGAGUACUGGAGAGGGUAACGGAAUUCACGGUGUAGCAGUGAAAUGCGUAGAUAUCGUGAGGAACACCAGAGGCGAAGGCGGUUACCUGGACAGUUACUGACGCUCAGGCACGAAAGCAUGGGGAGCAAAAGGG
rnacentral:rRNA from 1 species